rnacentral:rRNA from 1 species
UACGUAGGGUGCGAGCGUUAAUCGGAAUUACUGGGCGUAAAGCGUGCGCAGGCGGCUCGUUAAGUCAGGUGUGAAAGCCCCGGGCUUAACUUGGGAAUUGCGCUUGUGACUGGCGUGCUGGAGUGUGGCAGAGGGAGGUGGAAUUCCGCGUGUAGCAGUGAAAUGCGUAGAGAUGCGGAGGAACACCGAUGGCGAAGGCAGCCCCCUGGGCCAAAACUGACGCUCAGGCACGAAAGCGUGGGGAGCAAACAGG